UUUGCUUAAGUUUUGACAAUGAUGAUUCUGUCUGCAAAAUAGAUGCUCUGUGGAUUCAAGCCCCUGUUUCAGGGAGAACCUCUUGAUGAAGCAGAUGUUAUUUGACAUUAAUUGACAAAUCUGAGACAUUGUUGAAUAUUGUUUCAUGCUGCCUAGUUAAUUUUAGUAGUACGAUUGUAUUGAUUUGAUUUCUGGUUUAGAAACAGUCUUUUGCUGCAUGAUAGCUUGAUUAUUGUUUGCUUAAGUUCUGCCAUUGAUGAUUCUGUCUGCAAAAUGUAUGGUCUGUGGAUUCAAGCCCCUGUUUCAGGGAGAACCUCUUGAUGAAGCAGAUAUAAUAUGACAUCAGUUGACAAAUCUGAGACAAUAUUAUGAUAUAUUGCUGCUUGGUGUCUAGUGACUUUUAUUAUUCAUGGUUUUCCAAUGAUGAUUCUGUCUGCAAAAUGGAUGCCCUGUGGACUCAAGCCCCUUUUUCAGGGAGAACCUCUUGAGAAAGCAGAUGUAAAAUGACAUCAAAUGACAAAUCUGAGGUAUUCUAUAUUGUGCUUCCUAGUAUUUGUAACAUCAAUUGACAAAUGAGGUAUUCCAGGACAUUCAGCUUCCUGCUGAUGCAAUAGGCUAUGAUGAGAAAAGUCAUGCACCACUCUGAAGAGAAUCAUCUCUUUGUGCUGAUAAACAAACUUACAACCCAUUUUACAUCUGAGCCACC
rnacentral:lncRNA from 1 species